rnacentral:rRNA from 1 species
CGUCUAUAUACGUAUAGCAUAUCAAUAAGCGGAGGAAAAGAAACUAACUAGGAUUCCCUUAGUAACGGCGAGUGAAGCGGGAAGAGCUCAAAUUUGAAAUCUUCAAGGUUCUACCUUGACGAAUUGUAGUUUAAAGAAGUGUUUUCUGUUGGAGUUUUGGUAAAAGUUCUUUGGAAUAGGACAUCAUAGAGGGUGAGAAUCCCGUAUUUGACCAUUUCUUCCAAGCUGUGUGAUACACUUUCAAAGAGUCGGAUUGUUUGGGAAUGCAGUCCAAAAUGGGUGGUAAAUUUCAUCUAAAGCUAAAUAUUGGCGAGAGACCGAUAGCGAACAAGUACCGUGAGGGAAAGAUGAAAAGAACUUUGAAAAGAGAGUUAAACAGUACGUGAAAUUGUCAAAAGGGAAGCGUUUGACACCAGUGUUGUUUUCUCGAAAAUCAAUUAAAAAUGGCGGGAUUUUGUGUUGUAUUGACUUUAUCAGCUUUCUGCACUUUUUUCUUGUCUUUUUUAAUGCACUUUUCGUUUAACAAGUCAACAUCAAUUUCUUUUGUUGUAAAAGAGGUCAUUGGAAGGUGGCUUUCUUUUCGGAGAAAGUGUUUAUAAGCCUUUGACUUCUGCAGUCGGAGAGAUUGAGGUCUGCAGCGUAGAUCCUUCGGGGUUAGAUACAUUUGUGCUAAGCUAUAGCCUUUCAUAGACAACUUGUUGACUAUGAUCAGUCAUGUAGCUUACUCGCUUAUGCUAUUUUACCUACGCUUAGGAUGUUGACGAUCAGCUGAGCGCG